rnacentral:tRNA from 1 species
GCCUGGAUAGCUCAGCUGGUUAGAGCAUGGUGCUGAUAACACCAAGGUUGCAGGUUUGAUCCCCAUAUGGGACA